rnacentral:sRNA from 1 species
AGCGUCCUGCAGUUCUCGAAGCCUUGCGUUCCUACGUGGGGUAUUUAUGUAGAGAGUGUGGGACGCU